rnacentral:rRNA from 1 species
AGAGUUUGAUCCUGGCUCAGGACGAACGCUGGCGGCGUGCCUAAUACAUGCAAGUCGAGCGGAUCUUGCCCUUCGGGGCAAGGUUAGCGGCGGACGGGUGAGUAACACGUAGGCAACCUGCCCGUAAGACCGGGAUAACUGGCGGAAACGCCUGCUAAUACCGGAUAAUCGAUUCCCUCGCCUGUGGGGAUCGUGAAAGAUGCUUCGGCAUCGCUUGCGGAUGGGCCUGCGGCGCAUUAGCUAGUUGGCGGGGUAACGGCCCACCAAGGCGACGAUGCGUAGCCGACCUGAGAGGGUGAUCGGCCACACUGGGACUGAGACACGGCCCAGACUCCUACGGGAGGCAGCAGUAGGGAAUCUUCGGCAAUGGACGAAAGUCUGACCGAGCAACGCCGCGUGAGUGAGGAAGGCCCUCGGGUCGUAAAGCUCUGUUGCCAGGGAAGANNNGCUGGGAGAGGAAAUGCUCUCGGUUUGACGGUACCUGAGAAGAAAGCCCCGGCUAACUACGUGCCAGCAGCCGCGGUAAUACGUAGGGGGCAAGCGUUGUCCGGAAUUAUUGGGCGUAAAGCGCGCGCAGGCGGUUUCUUAAGUCUUGUGUUUAAUCCCGGGGCUCAACCUCGGUUCGCAUGGGAAACUGGGAAACUGGAGUGCAGGAAAGGAAAGUGGAAUUCCACGUGUAGCGGUGAAAUGCGUANAGAUGUGGAGGAACACCCAGUGGCGAANGCGACUUUCUGGCCUGUAACUGACGCUGA